GAAUGUGAGGGCGAUCUGGCUGCGACAUUUGUCACCCACUGAGCGCCAGAGUUGAUUGGGCUGAUCUGGCUGGCUAGGCGGGUGUCCCCUUCCUCCCUCAACGCUCCAUGUGCGUCCCUCCCGAAGCCGCAGGCUUGGUCGAAGAGGACGACCACCCCCAAUAGAGGAGGACUGUUUCUCGGUCAAAGGUAUAGGAGAAGCCGCGCUCCUCUGCUAGAACCUCCAAACAAGCUCUCAAGAUAUAGCAAGCUGGGACUGAAACCUCAUGACAUCUCACGCUGCAUUUGUUGUACUUUAUUAAACAUUCUUC
rnacentral:snRNA from 1 species